AUGAAGAAGAAACCAAACGCUCUUUUUUUUUUUUUUUUUUUUUUUCCCUUUCCUUUCUCCCCACCCCUUUCAAUCGGAAGAAAGAAAUCCCAAGGUCUGCAAAGACAUGCGGCUUCGGCACCACAAGCCCCGCGACACUGCCUGGAACCGUCUCCAACGCCUGGGGUCCCCGCUGCUCGGGUUCGGCGGGAUUCUGGGGAUUUUGGCCCAGACUGUCGCUUUCCGCUGGAUCUUGGUUCCCGCCUGCCCACGUGUGGAUUAGAGAACAAGCGGCCCCUCUCCCUCCCCAGCCCCAUCCCAGCUCCAAACCUGGAGGCUGACUGGGGGAAGCGGCUUUUUCUAGGGCAUAUUCUAAAAAGACUAAUGCUACAUCCCUUGGGCAGGGGGCCCUGAAUCAAAGGGUUAGGGGCUCGGAGUUGUGAGCCCUCUCCCCUCUACCGACUCCAAGAGCAAGAGGGGAUCAAUAGGGCCGGUAGGGAGAUCCGAGGCCAAGGCUGCUCAAGGUUUAUUUGGUUUUCUUUUCGGCCAAGGGAGGGGGCGGCCAGGAGAGGCGCCGUCCCCGGCAGUUCCACUCGGUUGUCAAAAGACAAACUGGGUCUGUGUUCUCCGGGUUGGCUGGUGAGUCUUGCCAGUUCCUUGGCUGGUUGAAUCUGUCAUGAAGGAAUUGAGCCGAGUUUUCUGGAAACUGUUGGUGUCUGCAAGUGAGUGUGGGUCCCCUUCCCUGUUUUCCAAUCAUUUCAAGUGAAAUCGACGCAAAUACACUUGGGAAAAAAAAAAAUGAGGAGUGGGAAUGGGGAUCAAUCAUUAAGGAACCAAACCAUUGUAACUUGUCUUCCUUCGGGACCCCUCACACCCGCUUAAGCUGACCGUUUUCCCAGAAGGGGGUGGCUGGCGAGGGCGGGAGGGGGGAUCUGCGCCGCUGCCGCCGUUUGAAUAUUGGCCCCUGUCUCACGGGUUACUGAUUAGCUCGGGCUUUCAAGCCGCAGGAGGAAGCUCUGGCUGCUCCUUUCAAGGUGCUGUGGCCCCAGUUCCUGGGCGGGGGCUCCAGGAAAUUGCCUGUGGUGCCAAGCAGGCCGAGGUGUUACCAGGGUCUGGCCAGGAGCUGAAGGCGCUGCCGAGGUGGAGGGGCCCAGCGGUACUGGGGGCAAACUCAGGGGCUGCGACCCCUGAGCCUUGGUGCCUCUGGGAAUCUGGACCCCAGGAGCAGUCCUUUCAGCUUUUCGGCAGAGAGUGACUUUCUGGCGGCUGGAAGGCCCGGCCAGUGCGGGAGGCCCCAAGGGAUCGAGCUCUGCAAGGCUCCUCAGAGAUUUUUUCUCUUGUGGGCAAUCUGAAGGACAGGUAGGGAGGGGAAUGAACCUGGUACAAAGGGUGGAAACACGUCAGGGCUCCUAGGGUGCCCAUGGACCCGGAGAGAGGGAGCUGAGCACCGCUGCGGCUCCACCAUCACCCCCCACCAGAGACGCUGCCGCUCAUUUGCAUAAUGGAAAUGAUGUCUUUGAACCGGGCGCUUUGGACCAGCCAAUUUCAAGGCAAUGUCCCCUCUAAAGAGCUCUCAAAGAUUGGAAGCAGCCGCACUGCUCCCUCGGGGACCGUUUAUGCUCCCCAAACCCAGAGAAUCACAGAGCAUAGGGGAAGAAUUGGGUUGAGAUAUUUGGAUUCACCCCACUCCAGCCAGACUUGGGAGUAGGGUGGGGGAAGGUGCCCACAGCCCGAAGAGCUAGGGGUGCGGGGAGCUUUGCAGCUGAGAGGAUGUGGGGGAGCCUGGAUAAUGUCUCAAUCUCCUUCGCCUCCACACACCUACUGGCAAAUAUCCUCCUGGAGAUUACCGACCGGUACAGGAGAAUUUUACUCCGGAGCUGAACACAGCUCAGACAUUUCCCUGGGAGCUGGAAUGUGUGUUUGUCCGCAGGACUUCAGAUUCACAGCUCAGAAAAUUACAAUUAUAAAUCCUGCCUGUGGGGUUUCUAUACAAUCCUUCUGUUGUGUACUCAAGAGUUGGUACACAUGUAUAUUCACCUCUUCGUUGAGCAGGGAGAGACACUCAGAGCAGCCGAUGCUGCUAUGUAUUUCUGUACUCCCCUUUGGAGACAGACCGACAGCGGUGAUGGAACCACAGACAGAUUCAUAGAGAUCUGGCUCCAGAAACCAGGCAGCCUCUGGCCCAGCCCUGCCUGCCUGCUCUUUCUCCCAAACAAACGGAUCAGACGAAUAAACGCUCAUAAAUACCUCUGGGCUUAGAUAAG
rnacentral:lncRNA from 1 species